UUGUCCACCAGGUCCUGGAGCCUAAGGAUAUUCUUGUGGUCCUCCUCAGCCUGCAAACAGAGUACACGUGGCAGGGGCCCGCAAACCUAUGGUCACUUCUGAUGGGGCUUGGUCCAUACAGCAUUCACUGAGGAGGUUUUUGGGACCCCUACCUGAUGCCCUGACCUUCCGGGAAACCCUCGGUGAGAGGCCCACAGCCUCGCUUCUAGGGUCACCACUGCUUCUUCCAGUCUAGCCAAACAGCUCCUAGUACAGCUCAGAGCACCCUGCAAGGAGGGCACGUGUUAAAUCGAGGAGCACACAUGCUCCACGAGGAAUUCUUUGCUUUGAGGCCAUGCACAGAGGUGGGUUCACUAUGAAGCUUGUGAAAUAAGCUUCAGGGCCCGCAUUUGCAUGGGCCACAGAGAGUCUGGGAGCUGCAGAAGGUUCAAGGGAAGAGGAGCCAUCACAAGCAGAAUAUUCUAGAAGGCAUUUCUGGCAAAUGGCCCAAAGAGGCCUCAGGAGAAAAGAACUUGAGUCUUCAAGGAUGCAAUGAGAAGGCACCAUCUGUGAGGAACAGGCCUCCGACAGACACCGAAUUUGCUGGCACUUUGAUCUUGGACUUCCCAGCCUCCAAAAUUAUCCAUAAUGGAUUCCUGGGACAUUUUCAGAUCUCCUUCCAGCUUCCUCUUCGCCCUUUCCAAGUCCGCCCGCAGUUUCUUCUCCUGCUCUAAGGAACCCUCAAGCUGAGAAGACACACAGAAGACCCAGAAGUCCAGCUUUGAAGAAAACCUGGAGAAAGAGAGAGUCACAAAUCAUCUCCAUACUGCAGGAGAUGCAGAAAUGGCAGAAGAAUAUUGAGUAUCACUUUAGAAUAUAUUAAACAACCUAUCAAGAUUAAUGAGCUUAUUCAGAAAAGAAAAUAAGUCCUGAUCAAUUUCAGCGUGUUUGGACCAGCAGAUUCCAGGUGAUGGAUAGGCAGCUUCAUUUUAAUAGUCUGUUGGUACAGGGUGACCUGUAGCCUUUCCAGAAGAGGUAAAAUGAAUCCUCCGGUUGUCACCCCCUCCUUCCUCGCUCCAAUUCCAUCAUUAAUCCCCGUUUGAGGAUUUGAGUGCUGCCGAGGACUGACAGACUCCAUGAGGUUCAGCUGCUGCCUGGUACAUGUGGUCACCUGCAGCUUCUUCAGCCCUACAUAUAUUUUGUGCUGUUUUAGACUGCUCUUUCUUCCAUUAAAUGAGAGAUUAGAUCUGAAUGGCCACGUGAUCUUCUGAGUCCCAUCUGUAAGAAUCUGCAUUUCCACGGAAUUGGGGGAGCAAACGUUCUCAAAACAUUCUUAAAUGCAAACCCGCAGGCACAGCAUGUGUCUGUCAACUCCAAGAGCAUUUGGAUGUUCGAAGGGAGAGGAUGUUUGACAUCUAACCCGUCGUGGAAAGAGGAGCCUCUACAGUGACAUGAAGGCAAUGGAUUCUCAGCAUUACAAGGCAAGACAGAACUUGAAGGAAGAAGGCUGGGAGGAAACCAAUGUUGAAUGAACACUGACUCUGUGCUCAGCCCUGAGCAAGCAGUGGAAUGCCCCUGGGCUGUGAGCCACGAAUUCAAAUCCCAGCUUGUAGAGCUGUUCUGGGGGUUAGAAGUUUGGGGUCCCUCGUUGCUGCACUCGUUCCAGGUUUGGGGCUGGCGCUGCCCUUCUGACCCCUCCCUAAAGUGGACACAGGAGAAGGAGCGGGGAGAAGAGACAGGCGGCCAGGAGACACCCUGUUGAGGGCUCCCUCUGCUUGCAACAGGACCUGCUGAGGUUGCAGCUGAAGUGCUGGUCUUCCCAGAGAAAACAACCCCUCAUUCUCAAAGGAUGAGAGUGAGCCCUGCGGGGCUGCAUGCUCUUGGCCAUGGGAGAUCAACUGUGGUCACAUAGAGUGUAAUCAGUGUGUAUUUAUGGAUCACUCACUACAUGCAAGACCGGGACACAGCCGGGAUUUACUGUGGGGCUGAAAGCAAGUCACUUAAAAAGGUAAAAAUUCAUGUCCUUUUAAUCUACUUUUCAGCAAGGAACAUCACGUCUGAAUGCUCGCGGCCUCUGCCUGCCCCGUGGGAUGGUGCUGGAAAUUAUACUCAUAUUUAGAUAGCAUUCUCUGCAAGUGGCUGCUGUUGUCCUUCCAUCGUCAGCACAGGCAGAUGCUGGGAGUACCCACCUUGGGGUGAGGUGGCAAGAGAGGGCCAGCUUGUAUCCGCCUCGUUGUCGUCCUUCCUUCCUGACUUGACUCUCUCCUCUGUGGCCUUCUCAGGAGUGGGAUGUGGUUGUGAGGAGAAUGUGCACUUUACCCCUCACCAGUCCAGAGAGGGGCACAUAGCCCAAACCUCUCCCCUUCCCAGAAACCUGCAAGUCCCCCUGGGUGCGCCUGUGUGAUGAGGCAGGCUCCGAGAGCCACAGGCUGGUGGGCCACUAGGAAGCAGUAAAGGAAGACAUUUUAUGAUUGUAGCUGGAGAUAAUGAAUUGAAAAGCUGGUCUCUGUUUCUGGAAAUGAUGCCAGGAGGCCCUCAAAAUAAACGCCCACCUGUCCUUCAGGUCUCAACACCUGUUGCUCUUGGGACAGAGAUCCCAGGCCCAAAAUAGGCACAGCUGCUAUGGAUGCUCGUCUUGCCCUCCUGGAGCUGAGACUGGGCCAUGUUUGGAAAUAUGUCUCCCUCCAUCCCCUCCUCCCAUCCUCAUUUGGAGCCUUAGGGCUUUAAGACGUGAGCUCUUUCCUCGCUCCCUCUCCCCAGUCUUUCUUGGGUAUCUCUGCUCCUCCCAUCACCUGUUCCUGGGCAUGGCAUAGGCAGUUGGUAAAUGACAGAUGAAUGAAUACAUGUACAAGGAAACACAGAUCUGAAAUUUCUAGCAGCAAAGUUUGGAGCAGGAAGCUCUGGCUGGCCCUGGGCUUUUUGCUAAGGGUGUUCUGGCUUCGCGUGGCAGCACCCCUCCCCACCGGGCCUUUGCCAGGACGCUCGAUCCUCUCUUCGGGCUUCUGAGCAGUGUGAAUUGCAAACAGCCAUGCCCACUCCCCAGGCCAAGAAAACCAAGUUCAUGGCCAGGAUUGCUCACAAAAAAAAAAAAAAAAAAAGAACCACUUCUGCCUUAUCAUUCUCUCUUUAUUACCGAAAUGCGGAGACAGAAAGUCAACAGAGAAAGAAUUGUUUUCCCCAAGGCCACACAGAUUGCUCCAACACUUGACUUUUCCUGCUAGGAACUCAAUCCAAGAGAUGGGCUUUCUUUUGUUCUCUGACUAUAAAAGGGUGUCACCUUGUCACCAUCUUCUAUCACACAGGACCCCUAUGGGCUUGGUUUGGUUUUGUUCUUUCAUCAUUAUUAUUUGGAAAGUUAUAUUUCCUUUACUGUCCUUGAGGUGUGAGGCUUCACCUCAUCUUGUCUCCAUAUCCCUGAGUCACUAAGGAGUCCUAUGUCAAUGACACCUCUCCAUAUGCUUUACCUAAGCUGCCCCUUCUCUCAGCAAGUUCGCGCCAGGCUUCCCCAUGAAGGCCACCUAAGGGUGUCUAUCGUCCCCCUCCUAAAUCUCCCCAGGACUUUUGAACAAGGGCCAUGUCCAGUUUAAUGUCACACAAAGAAGACUCAUCAAAGCCCAGGAGUUGGGAGUUCUUGCUCCUCACUGCCAUGGAAAGCAUGAAACAUCUGAGAUAAAAAUAAUCUGUGCCAUCCCCUGGCUCCGGAUGGACAGCAGUUGGGGCAUGAGCGCCUCCAGAAUGUCUCAGCAUUGCUGAGGGUAACCGGAUCGCCGCUCAGAUCCAGCAGGCAGCCUCAGAACCUCCCAGCUGCUGUUGUUUUUAGCACCGGGAUUAUUGGUAGGGGUGUAAAUAGACAUCUGUGUUCUGGGUGGCUCGCUCACCCCACAUUCCUAGGCACACUUGUUUUAUUAAAGCUCUCAGCUGUCGGGUGAUCCAGGCGUGGAGAAAUGAAAGGCCGCCCUCACCAGCUGGUGGUGGACUGCAAACUGCAACCAGUUUUCCCCCAUAAGGACAUGUUACUCCUAUUAGAAACUGUGUCCCUCACAUGUCCUUAAGAAGCGGGCCAUCUGCCAAUCAUAAAUCGAGAUCUCAGCCGUUCCAAAUAAAGAAAGAGUCUACCCUCCUUGCUGGCAGUCCUUUUAUAGUUGACAGAUUUUUUUUUUUAAUCUUGUGCUUGGCCAUGUAUUUCUUGUGUAAUUAAAAAAUUAUAAAAGGUAAUAAAAAAUACAAAUCCACUGCUAAGAGAUUUAAGACUCAAUAAAAAUUUCAGAAAGCCAGAGGUUUCUGGAUAGUAUGAGGAUUACAAGGAGAAGGUUAAUAAAUUCCAUGUCCCAACACCAGAAAAAAAGAAUAAAAGAGAAAAAACAAGGCUAUUUAUGAAAAGGAAAAGUAAUUAGAAAUGGCCCUUAAUGGCUGAGUGUGGUGGCUCAUACCUGUAAUCCCAGCACCUUGGGAGGCCGAGGCGGGUGGAUCACCUAAGGUCAGAAGUUCGAGAUCAUUCUGGCCAACAUGGUAAAACCCCGUCUCUACUAAAAAUACAAAAAAAUUAGCCAGGCAUGGUGGCGUGUGCCUGUAGUCCCAGCUACCUGGGAGGCUGAGGCAUGAGAAUUGCUUGAAACCGGGUGGCAAAAGUUGCACUGAGCCAAGAUCGCACCACUGCGCUCCAGCCUGGGUGACAGAGUGAGACUCCUUCUCAAUAAAAAUAAAAAAUAUAAUAAGAAAUGGUCCUUAAUUUGGAGAGGCUCACCCAAAAAAGUGAGCCUGAAGAGAAGGCGCCCUUCAUUCUUUUGCCACCCUGUUCUGGAGCCCAUGUACGAAAGAGCCAGUGGAUAUUGCAAAUGAGCUAAAGUCACCCAAGUUCCUACUGAAUGGUCAAAGGUCCUAUCUUAAGAGAGGCUCUCUGAGGAUGGGGUGGGCUGAGGUGGUGGACAAGAGGAGGGUUAUAGAGAAACACCUGGAGGACGCUAACAGAAACAGUCGAUCAUCAAAAAGAAAACACGAAGCACGCUUUGGGUUCUAUCAGCCCAGUUUCAACACAGCUUUACCCUGUGCGCCAGCUCUUUUGAGGGAUUUCGCCUGUCUAUGUGGCCGGCUGCCCCGGUAGAAGGUUAGUACUUUGUAGGGUAAAGGAGUCUUAGGAUCUAGAGAGAAUCCAGCUCUGCCAUUUUGACCUUGAACAAAUCACUGAGUUUCGUCUUUUCAUCUGUAAAGUGGGUGAUAAGGUCCAUCUCCUCAUCGCCAAGUCUGUAUGCUGAGGGCACGAGAGAGUGCAUGCCAAGUGCACAUGGGUGGAGUUCAGUAAAUAGUGGCUGAUCUCAUCCUCCUCCUCUCCAUGGUCGGAGGAGACCCCCUCUCUGGCUCGUGUGGCACGGCAGCUCCUGAUUUGGAAUGGAAUUGGUGCUUUCAUUUUUUGCUUCUUAAUAACACAGCUUACAUUUUCUAUAGUCGUGGGCAUCCUUUUUUUAUGGAAUAAAUGAACAUGGGUGACUUUGGUCAUAAUAUUCACUCUUAGAAAAUGAAUCUUUUCAUUUAUAUCCUUCACAAAAUCAGAGCCUAAUAGAAAUAGUCACAGGUCACUUCCAGCACCAAACUCCGCACCUUCUCCUUUGUGGGAAAUGUCACACUUUGCCAAUAAGUGGACACAGGGGGUUCCACGGCCCCAGGUAUUUUCAAGUGCAGAGGCACUCCAGUUCUGCAUAAAAUGCAUCAGGGGCCUCUUUUAUUAAUUCUUUAAGUCAUAAGUUCUGUAAAAUAAGUUUACUUCAACGAUCUCUCGCUUACUCUUCCUUUCUGGUAUGUACAUAUUUUACCACCUUUUUUUUUUCUUUUUGAGACAGAGUCUUGCUCUGUCUCCAGGCCGGAGUGCAGUGGUGUGAUCUUGGCUCACUGCAACCUCCGCCUCCUGGGUUCAAGCGAUUCUCCUGCCUC
rnacentral:lncRNA from 10 species